UAUAACAUACAAUAUAAACGGCAAUGUCAUAUCAUA
rnacentral:guide_RNA from 1 species